AACACAGAAAGCACACUGUAGUUGGGUCAUGGAGAGUUGGUAUCGAUCCAUCCUUGAUCCUUAACUUGGAAUCAAAUCCAGCCUUGUGUUGACCAUCGUUGAUGAAGCAGUCCGAGUUAGCACAAGCGGCUCAAGAGAGGAGAUCAAUAUGGCGGACUGUGCGCUGCUCGCUCAGGUUUUAAUGAGGGCGGAUCUAAGCUACUCGGGUGGAUCUCUUUGCCAGCUAUGGGCAGUACCUUUCCCCUUUUGACGUCAUAAGGGGCUGUAAACCUGAACGGCUCAUUCAGAGACACUGUUUUUAUUGAUGGGGAAAGGAAAGAAACGAGGGGAUGGUCUUUUACCAUAUUUUUUGGUUGUCUACACACACUGGGAACACAUAAUUAUGUUAAUUUAUUUAUUUUUUUUAAAGUGGAUUUUACAUAAUAUGUCCCCUUUAAAGUUUCAGAAAUAUUUAAAGAUUUACUUUAUAAAUGACACCCCACAGAUGUAACAUUUAAACUUUUAUUUUAAAGUGUAUUAUGUUCCAAUAUUUCAUCAAAGGAUAGCAUCAUACAUAUCUACAGAUGUCUGAGCUAAACCCUGAAUAUCCACUGACCCUAGAUCUUGGUGAACUUUAACCAGACUAACAGAGAAAUGGUUCAUGCUCAUUUAAUUUGUGUUCUCUCACAGUAUUCUGGACGUGACUGAAGAGGAAGUUGAGGUGGGAUGUUUCAGAUGUCAGAAGUUAGAUGUAAAGUCAAACCAGAAAGGACUCAAAAUACGAGCUGAGAGGAGAGAGGAAGUAGUUCCAUCAGAUUGUCCUGAGAGUAGCCUGACCUUUGUCCCCCCCUGACCCCUUCACCCAAAACCAGAAUAAUGAUACUGACAACGCAGUGUUUCCAAGCUUGCUUGUAGAGAUCAAGAAGCAGGAAAGAUGGCCGGAUGAGCAGACCGCUAGAUGACGCCAUUGACCAAUAAGAAUCGAGUAUUCCAGAGAGCUGUGAAAGAACGGCUGCGCUGUCGACAUCGUUCUUUUCAAAUCAAACCUUAAGAGAGAUCAGUGGAGGGGGAGGAGUUAUCGCUGAGUCCAGUCCUCAGCUGUGCGUCUACAUUUAUUAAUGUAAUUAUCAUAAUUUAUGCUCAUAAUUCAGCUCACUGGCAUGCUGGAUGAUGUUUGCAGGUGUGUCACUCCGCACUGGCGCCCCCUGCUGUCCUGGAUACAUGAGUGUCGAUGGAGCAGCAGAAUACUGUCACUAAUAUUCUGUAUAAUAAUGCUGAUAGCAGCUUUAACAUGUUUAACAGUUCCAAUCAUGUAGUUGUGAGUGUGUGAAUCUCAUAAAUAACAGUUUAAAGGAACAGUUCAGACGAAAAUUCUGUCAUUAUUUACUGACAUUUUGUUCAAGCACUAGACAUUCAUAAGGAUUUUGAACAACAUUGAGAUUUUUGGGUGAACUAUGACUUUAAAUGAAAAAGAAUGUCCAUGUUUGAUUCCAACUUUCCACCAGGUGUCAGUAGUGAGUUCCACUCAACAAUUAUUCACUUCUACUAUUCCAGUUCAUUACUCAUUACAGCAAAUUGACAUACAUGGAUUAUAAUGUAACAUUCACUGUAAACUUUGGGAAUUAAAGGGGUCAUGAAAUGCUCUUUUUUUUAUAUAUAGUUUUAUUAUCUUCCCUGAGAUCCACUGAUAAUGUUAGUAAAGGUUUUUUUUUAUUUUUUUUAUUUAUAUUUUUUUUUUUGCAUUAAAAUGAU